AGUGGCGGACGGGUGAGUAUCGCGUAGGGAUUUAUCGUUGGGUGGGGGAUAACCGCGGGAAACUGCGGCUAAUACCGCAUGACGCCUGUGGGCCAAAGCAGUGAUGCGCCUGAUGAGGGGCCUGCGUUCGAUUAGCUAGUUGGUUGGGUAAUGGCUGACCAAGGCGACGAUCGAUAGCUGGUCUGAGAGGAUGAUCAGCCACACUGGGACUGAGACACGGCCCAGACUCCUACGGGAGGCAGCAGUGGGGAAUAUUGGACAAUGGGCGCAAGCCUGAUCCAGCAAUGCCGCGUGGAUGAUGAAGGUCUUCGGAUUGUAAAGUCCUUUCGGCGGGGACGAUGAUGACGGUACCCGCAGAAGAAGCCCCGGCUAACUUCGUGCCAGCAGCCGCGGUAAUACGAAGGGGGCUAGCGUUGCUCGGAAUGACUGGGCGUAAAGGGCGCGUAGGCGGAUGUCUUAGUCAGGCGUGAAAUUCCCGGGCUUAACCUGGGGGCUGCGUUUGAUACGGGGUGUCUUGAGUGGGGAAGAGGGUCGUGGAAUUCCCAGUGUAGAGGUGAAAUUCGUAGAUAUUGGGAAGAACACCGGUGGCGAAGGCGGCGACCUGGUCCUUGACUGACGCUGAGGCGCGAAAGCGUGGGGAGCAAAC
rnacentral:rRNA from 1 species